rnacentral:rRNA from 1 species
GGCCAGCCGCCCCGGUAAUACGGAGGGUGUGAGGGUUAAUCGGAAUUAUUGGGCGUAAAGCGCGCGUAGGUGGAUUGUUAAGUCAGAUGUGAAAGCCCCGGGCUCAACCUGGGAAUUGCAUUUGAUACUGGCAGUCUAGAGUAUGGUAGAGGGUAGUGGAAUUCCUGGUGUAGCAGUGAAAUGCGUAGAUAUCAGGAGGAACAUCAGUGGCGAAGGCGACUACCUGGACCAAUACUGACACUGAGGCGCGAAAGCGUGGGUAGCGAACGGGAUUAGAUA